CAAGCCAGCAGUCAACUACACCCUACACCUCGCUACUCACACAUUCGGUAAAUAAGAGCAGAAUGACGGAGACAGGAGGACUGGAGCUGGAAGACGGAACUCUUUAAUGCGGGAGCUGGGAGUCGGUGACCGUAGGAGGGAGCAGGACAAACUCCCAUGUCAAGUUCCAACUGAAACGUGUCGUUUAACUGCCCUGCUUGGAUGAUGUGAUGCUGCGCUGCUACUGGAGACUGAUGCUGGAUUGGACUGGACACUGGUCAGGCUUGAUGAUGAUGAUGAUGAAGAUGUGGAUGAAGAACAUGGAGAUCAACUGAAAUGGAUGGCGAGCUACCCAGAAAUGCGAAGGAGAAAUAGCAGCUAAGACACACACACAGGCCGCAAGCCUGGCUGACAACCAGGUGGUGUGGUAGAACUUUCCUUCACCAUUUAGCCUGUUACCCAUUUACUUAAGUGACUAGUAGCAAUUAUUUCCUGGAGUUGUGCAAUAUUAUUAUACUUGAAUCAUGGUUAUUAAGGUAUUUAUUAUUCACCGAGUAUGUGUGUGAAACUGGUAUUGGGAAAUGUAUUUUGCAAUGAGUAUUUAACUGAAUGAGUGUGUUCUGACUGAGUUGAUUCACCUCAGUUAAAUUUAAAGCUGCCUUGAGAACUGUGAACAUUCCUGAUAGUAUACUAUAUACUAUAUUGCAUUGAACUUUUGUAAAUAUUUUCCCUCUAAAAGGCCUUUAUUUUGGUUAAUCACUUUCUUUAAUUAUCAUUAAUUCACUUUAAAGUUCUGUUGUAUAUAUCUUGUCAAUACACAUUUCAUCUUUGCAA